CCCAGGUUUCAGCAACCAGUUUAAGGAAGUCAGGGUGAAGGGUGAGGUAAUUGAAGAACUUGAAUGGUUUUGUUCCGGCUUGAGGUAGAGGACAGAUAGGUUCAAUGCAACAGGGAGUGUGAUCUGAGAUAUCAGGGGCAUGGAACACGGCAAGGCUACAGGGGUCCUGGAUUUCCAAUUGAUGCAGGCAGGAGUUGAAAUCAAUCAUAGGGCUAGAGAUUUGCGAGAUAGAUGGUAUUGAGUGCUCUGAAGGAUGCCUUAUUUCGUUGAAGUCUCCCCUAACAAGCCAAGGGUAUGAGCCUAGGUUGAGAGUAGCAUGGAGAUCCAAGAGCUCCACCCACAGCUCAGUGCGUUCUUCUACAGUGUUACCUGCAUAGACCGCUGUGAAGUAGAAAGGUGGGACAGAAGGGUAAUCGACACGGCAAGUCAAAGAUUGUCUAGACUGGUGGGAGAUGGUGAUAUUAAGAUGGGGCUUCCAGAUCAAGAUGAUCCUUCCGUCAGGGUCUGAGUGAUGGUUUGAAACAUAAGACCAUGAAGGACAGAUAAGGGCCAUGGUCGGGCUGAGGGCAGGUUCUUUAAUAUGGGUUUCUAAAAUGGCUCCUAAACUAAUAUGGUUUUGGGUCUCUCCUUCUGAUAGGAAAGAACCCACAGCGGGGGUAGUAAAAUCUGAGGAUGAAGAUGAGGAUGAGGGAAAAGAGGGAUC